rnacentral:rRNA from 1 species
GACGAACGCUGGCGGCGUGCCUAAUACAUGCAAGUCGAACGGAGUGGCGAACGGGUGAGUAAUGUAUCGGAACGUGCCCAGUAGCGGGGGAUAACUACGCGAAAGCGUAGCUAAUACCGCAUACUAUUGGAGCGGCAGAUAUCGGAUUAGGUAGUUGGUGGGGUAACGGCUUACCAAGGCGACGAUCCGAAGCUGGUUUGAGAGGAAGACCAGCCACGCUGGGACUGAGACCCGGCCCAGACUCGUACGGGAGGCAGCAGGGGGGAAUUUUGGACAAUGGGGGAAACCCUGAUCCAGCCAUCCCGCGUGUGCGAUGAAGGCCUUCGGGUUGUAAAGCACUUUUGGCAGGAAAGCGGUACCUGCAGAAUAAGCACCGGCUAACUACGUGCCAGCAGCCGCGGUAAUAC